rnacentral:rRNA from 1 species
GGGACGAACGCUGGCGGCGUGCUUAACACAUGCAAGUCGAACGGUGAAGCCUUUCGGGGUGGAUCAGUGGCGAACGGGUGAGUAACACGUGAGUAAUCUGCCCUUGACUCUGGGAUAACUUCGGGAAACCGCGGCUAAUACCGGAUAUGACGCAUGGUCGCAUGGUCUGUGUGUGGAAAGAUUUAUUGGUCAGGGAUGAGCUCGCGGCCUAUCAGCUUGUUGGUGGGGUAAUGGCCUACCAAGGCGACGACGGGUAGCCGGCCUGAGAGGGCGAGUCGGCCACACUGGGACUGAGACACGGCCCAGACUCCUACGGGAGGCAGCAGUGGGGAAUAUUGCGCAAUGGGCGGAAGCCUGACGCAGCGACGCCGCGUGAGGGAUGAAGGCCUUCGGGUCGUAAACCUCUUUCAGCAGGGAAGAGGCUUUGGGUGACGGUACCUGCAGAAGAGCACCGGCUAACUACGUGCCAGCAGCCGCGU